AUCGAACGCUGGCGGCAGGCCUAACACAUGCAAGUCGAACGAGUGGCGGACGGGUGAGUAAUGUCUGGGACAUUGCCUGUUGGAGGGGGUUAACUUCUGGAACCGUUAGCUAUUACCGCAUACCAUCAGAUGUGCCCAGAUGGGAUUUGCUAGUUGGUGGGGUAACGGGUCACCAAGGCGACGACCCCUAUCUGGUCUGGGAGGAUGACCAGCCACACUGGAACUGAGACACGGUCCAGACUCCUACGGGAGGCAGCAGUGGGGAAUAUUGCACAAUGGGCGGAAGCCUGAUGCAGCCAUGCCGCGUGAAUGAAGAAGGCCUUCGGGUUGUAAAGUACUGUCAGCGGGGAGGCGUUACCCGAAGAAGAAGCACCGGCUAACUCCGGUCCAGCAGCCGCGGUAAUUC
rnacentral:rRNA from 1 species